rnacentral:rRNA from 1 species
GGCUCAUUAAAUCAGUUAUCGUUUAUUUGAUAGUACCUUACUACUUGGAUAACCGUGGUAAUUCUAGAGCUAAUACAUGCUAAAAACCCCGACUUCGGGAGGGGUGUAUUUAUUAGAUAAAAAACCAAUGCCCUUCGGGGCUCCUUGGUGAUUCAUGAUAACUUCUCAGAUCGCAUGGCUUUACGCCGGCGACGGUUCAUUCAAAUUUCUGCCCUAUCAACUUUCGAUGGUAAGGUAGUGGCUUACCAUGGUUUCAACGGGUAACGGGGAAUUAGGGUUCGAUUCCGGAGAGGGAGCCUGAGAAACGGCUACCACAUCCAAGGAAGGCAGCAGGCGCGCAAAUUACCCAAUUCCGAUACGGAGAGGUAGUGACAAUAAAUACUGAUACAGGGCUCUUUAGGGUCUUGUAAUUGGAAUGAGUACAAUUUAAACCUCUUAACGAGGAACAAUUGGAGGGCAAGUCUGGUGCCAGCAGCCGCGGUAAUUCCAGCUCCAAUAGCGUAUAUUAAAGUUGUUGCAGUUAAAAAGCUCGUAGUUGAACCUUUGGCCUGGCUGGCAGGUCCGCCUCACCGCGUGCACUUGUCCGGCCGGGCCUUUUCUUCUGGAGAACCGCAUGCCCUUCACUGGGUGUGUUGGGGACCAGGACUUUUACUUUGAAAAAAUUAGAGUGUUCAAAGCAGGCCUUUGCUCGAAUACGUUAGCAUGGAAUAAUAGAAUAGGACGUGCGGUCCUAUUUUGUUGGUUUCUAGGACCGCCGUAAUGAUUAAUAGGGACAGUCGGGGGCAUCAGUAUUCAAUUGUCAGAGGUGAAAUUCUUGGAUUUAUUGAAGACUAACUACUGCGAAAGCAUUUGCCAAGGAUGUUUUCAUUAAUCAGUGAACGAAAGUUAGGGGAUCGAAGACGAUCAGAUACCGUCGUAGUCUUAACCAUAAACUAUGCCGACUAGGGAUCGGGCGGUGUUUCUAUUGUGACCCGCUCGGCACCUUACGAGAAAUCA